CAAAUCGUACCCCAAACCGACACAGGUGGUCAGGUAGAGAAUACCAAGGCGCUUGAGAGAACUCGGGUGAAGGAACUAGGCAAAAUGGUGCCGUAACUUCGGGAGAAGGCACGCUGGUGUGUAGGUGAAGUCCCUGCGGAUGGAGCUGAGACCAGUCGAAGAUACCAGCUGGCUGCAACUGUUUAUUAAAAACACAGCACUGUGCAAACACGAAAGUGGACGUAUACGGUGUGACGCCUGCCCGGUGCCGGAAGGUUAAUUGAUGGGGUUAUCCGUAAGGAGAAGCUCUUGAUCGAAGCCCCGGUAAACGGCGGCCGUAACUAUAACGGUCCUAAGGUAGCGAAAUUCCUUGUCGGGUAAGUUCCGACCUGCACGAAUGGCGUAAUGAUGGCCAGGCUGUCUCCACCCGAGACUCAGUGAAAUUGAACUCGCUGUGAAGAUGCAGUGUACCCGCGGCAAGACGGAAAGACCCCGUGAACCUUUACUAUAGCUUGACACUGAACAUUGAGCCUUGAUGUGUAGGAUAGGUGGGAGGCUUUGAAGCGUGGACGCCAGUCUGCGUGGAGCCAACCUUGAAAUACCACCCUUUAAUGUUUGAUGUUCUAACGUUGGCCCCUUACCGGGGUUGCGGACAGUGUCUGGUGGGUAGUUUGACUGGGGCGGUCUCCUCCCAAAGCGUAACGGAGGAGCACGAAGGUUAGCUAAUCCUGGUCGGACAUCAGGAGGUUAGUGCAAUGGCAUAAGCUAGCUUGACUGCGAGCGUGACGGCGCGAGCAGGUGCGAAAGCAGGUCAUAGUGAUCCGGUGGUUCUGAAUGGAAGGGCCAUCGCUCAACGGAUAAAAGGUACUCCGGGGAUAACAGGCUGAUACCGCCCAAGAGUUCAUAUCGACGGCGGUGUUUGGCACCUCGAUGUCGGCUCAUCACAUCCUGGGGCUGAAGUAGGUCCCAAGGGUAUGGCUGUUCGCCAUUUAAAGUGGUACGCGAGCUGGGUUUAGAACGUCGUGAGACAGUUCGGUCCCUAUCUGCCGUGGGCGCUGGAGAAUUGAGGGGGGCUGCUCCUAGUACGAGAGGACCGGAGUGGACGCAUCACUGGUGUUCGGGUUGUCAUGCCAAUGGCACUGCCCGGUAGCUAAAUGCGGAAGAGAUAAGUGCUGAAAGCAUCUAAGCACGAAACUUGCCCCGAGAUGAGUUCUCCCUGAGACUUUAAGUCUCCUGAAGGAACGUU
rnacentral:rRNA from 1 species